CUUAAAACAACCCAAUGCGUUGGAGAGCUCUAAGCAAGAGCAGCAAAGAGACGAACUAGACAGACAGUUCAAGUCCAGCGCAAGGGCAAGCAAGAAUGAAAUCCUUUGAACCAAACAGAGAUGAUGGAUUUUACGAGAUUUUAAACAGCGAAGGGGGAUAAAAUAGCACCAGAAUGGAAAGCUAACAUCUGAAAGUCAUUUUCCAGAACUUCAUUCAGCACCAGAACAAUGCGGCAUUCAGGCAUAAUGAGCUGAAAAGAUCUAAUUCAAGUGGUUAUUAUGCCCAUGAAACACCACCACCGCUGAAUUUAUUUUUAUUUUGCCUGCUCAAUGGCAAUGUAAAGCGAAUUUGAGAGCACAUCACCUUCAGGGAAAAGACUGCAGCAUAUUACUCACCACCUCCCUCCUCCCUUCUGCGUGAAAAGGUUAAUUUGAAUAAGACUGCUGCUUCCCCAAAUAGAACAGUCACCAGCGCACAGAGGCCGGCCAAUGGGAGCGUUAUUCAAUGAUGUCAUGCCUAUACCUGAUCCUUAUUAUUUGCUGAGUCGUGACAAUGUGCUCCUUGCGUCUCACAUUUUAUUGGUCAAGAACCCUG